CAGGUGGGAGGACCUUAAAGUAAAGUACUUCCGCUUCCAUAGGCGGAGCUGGAAAGGUAGAGGCGGAAGUGACUGAUCAAUUCACGGGGUGUGAGAAUUCUAUGGGUUGAUUGGACUCCUCCUCCAUUCAACUGGUGGCUGGGAUGAGCAGGAAUGGCCAAGAAGACCUCACUCAUAUAUCUGAGGGUAAUUAAAAUCAAGUGGAUGAGAGAAGUUCAAAUGAUCUUUGAAACUCAGAGGAUGAAUAAAGAACACUUCCUGAAAUGAAGAAGGCUGCAUAAAAGAGGUCUGCACUAUAACUAGAACUCAAGCAAGCAAGAUUGGAGUUUUGCUGAGACACCAUAGAAGAACAACUAAAUGGUGCUCUCCUGUUCUGUUCUCUGACCCCAUGAUAUGACCACCCAGAUUUUCUGAGGAGCUCUGGGAUGCAUGCCUCUGAGAUCAUCUUAGAAUCCUGGACUGGGACUCAGAGCCAGAAGAGUGACGUGAUGAGAAGAUUGUUCCUGCUGGCCAGCAUGGUACUUCCUUUGGAGGAUCAGGAGAGAUUUUGGAUGAUUCUUAUUCCCAUAUGACAUAAGAUGAACUCAGGGCUCUGGCUAUGGAAAGAGUUGGGGUUCAACUCCAGUCCUUGGCCUUAUGCUGCAUGAAUGGGCCCAUGCAUCCACUCAGGCCCAACUAUGUUCUAAUUGUGGUGCCACCUGUGGUCCAUGGCACUAAAGGGCUGUGAUGAUGGCAGCAGGUAUCUUUAACCCUGUAAGCAUAGUCUCCAACUGACAACCAGGGCUCCAUCCCAACCUCUCUACAGGUUCUAUGCCAGGUAUCAGGCACUUCUCCUGGGAUGGCCUCACCUAUCUCCCUAACCCUCCUUUCUGAGAGCUUUUGAAACCAUUUUUCUGCCACACUAAGGACCCAUUCUAAUCAAUGACUUUUCCUGCUUCUGACAGAUGUGGCAAUGCCUUACUCCUCCUGGAUGACCUUAAAGUGUGCAUUUUGAAUGGCCCUUCCUUCAAUGAAUGGGAUUUUUUUUUUUUUAAAUCAUGCCAUUGGGCCCUUCAUGCAUUCUCCUUGCUGGUGGUAGUGGUAUGCAGAAAGCAGGGAUGGUCAACAUGAAAAGAUAUCACACUUCAGGAAUGCAGUGAAAAUGGCUUCAUAAGUUCAAGAGAAGACACAGUUGGAAGAAGUAUUUUCCUGUUUCUAGAAUGUAAAAAAUUCUAAACAGUAAAUUUAAUAAUCAGAAAAUGAAUUGUGAUUCAUAUUUUCCUUAGUACUCUGGGUAAGACCUGUAUUUGUGAUCAUUAAUGAAACAGCAACAACCUUUGAGAGAAUCAUUGGAAGCCAAUAUUCAUGGGUGGCACAAUGAAUGAUUACAUUAUUACAUGAGUAAUAAUGUAACCAGCAUUAAAUAAAUGGUAUUAGAGAACUGAAGAGGGAAGAAAAUUCAUCAUGUUUCAAUAUAAAAGUUACCAAAGAGCCAUGUCAUUAUGAGUAAUAACAGCAUUGCUGCAUUUUUCUCUUAGUAGGAGAUAUGAAAUCAGCCAGGAAUGGAACAUUUAACAAUAAAGAACACCAAGAGAUUGUUCUUGGGCCUGAACAGGAAGAGGUUUUGGGUGCACACUAUGAAGUAUUUUUACAUGCAAUGAUUGGACCAUAAACAAAUGCAUAAGUAUUUGUUCUCUAUCCACUAUUUUGAAACUUUAUUCAGAUAACUGAAUAUACCUAACAGGCCUGUGAAUUUCUAAAUACGUUUAAGGUCCAAUUGUUUAUAUUUUAAUGUAUAUAAAAGGUAUACUUUCCCAGGGUUCUGCAUGUCUCAGGGGUGCCCUAAUAUUAGCAGACAGUCCCAAAGGAAACAGAAGGUACUAUGGGAUGUCUCCAUUAUAAAGGAAUCUGAAUGUAUGGAAACACAAGUGCUUUCAGAGAAAAAUCAGUGUGUAUUCCUAAUUGGUAGGCUGAGGGCAUAGUCUGAAAGAGAAGAAACUCCAAAACAUUAAUCAGGGAAUAAAUGAAUAGACAACUUAUUGUGCCAGUAAGAAAAAGGGUAGCAUCAACAUGAACAUUAGAUACCUCCGAGUGCUAAGCUUUAAUAAUGGCGAGGGACAUAGUUUAACAGUAGGCCCAGGUCUUGAUUACUUUUCCUAAUGAGAGUGAAGCACAGCAUGGAAAAGUGACAACUUGAGAUAAUUCAAAAUGUCACAUUAGUUUUGAGUUUCAAUCUCUUCCACAACCAGUCUUCAUAAAAACUGCUAAUGAGUAGUAAAUUGGACUGAUUUGAGUUUUACUUCGAUUUGCUUCUUGAGCUAAUCUUUAGAGAAAGGGUUUAAGGCAGUAGGAUGUCAUGGAUAGCGAAUGAGAGCAGAAUUCAAGCAACCUGAGUCAGAGCCUUUGCUCUACAAUUAACAGUUCGUGUGGCCCAGGGCAAGAAAACAAAGAAAUCAGCUGUUUAUGAACAUCUGUCAGGUGCCAUGCACCGUGCUAGGUCAGAGGAGACAGAUGAACAAGACGGGCCGCCCCCCAACUGCUCACAGACUGGCAAUGUAGACUGAGAUGUAAAAGGAUAAUUGGAAUAUAUUGUGAUAAGUUUCUUAUAGAAUUAUGAGCAAAGGACUGUGAGAGUCCAGAAUAUAGUGUGAUUAAACAAUGAGAAUAUCAAUAAGUAUACAUGUUAGUCAGUGCUGUAAAUAAUGAAAGUCGCAUAUGUAAUUUUAGCAUUUCUAGGAAGUACAUUGAAAAGAUUAAAAAGACACAGGUGAAAUUAACCUUAAUAAUAUGUUAUAUUUAACCCAACAGAUUCAAAAUAGCAUUUCAACAUAAAUAGAUAUUUCAACAUAAUAACGAAAUAGCAUUUCAACAUAAAUAUAUAUAUAAGUUAAUUUUAUAUCUAUUUGUUAAUGAGAUUUUAUAUCUAUUUAAUAUUUAUCAAUACAAUUUAUUAGUUUUAUAUCUAUUAGUGAGAGAGUUUACAUUUCUUCUCUAGGUCUGUGAAAUUCAGGGUCUAUUUUCUACUGUAGCACAUGUUAAUUUGGACUAAUCACAUUUCAAGUGCUCGGUAGCCACAUGUGGCUAGGGACUACUAUCUUGAGCAAUGCAAUGAUAAGUCUGCACUUAUGUUGGAAAAGACUUAAGGCAGGGAUCCCCAACCUCCAGGCCACAACCGAUCCAUAGCCUGUUAACCCAGCCACACAGCAGGAGGUGAGAGACGGCCAGCAAACAACAUGUCAUUUGUAUUCACAGCCACUCCCCAUUGCUCUUCUAACCACCUGAGCCCCCACCUUCUGUCAGAUCAACGAAGGCAUUAGAUUCUCAUAGGAGUGCAGACUUUAUUGUCAACCUCACACAUGAGAGAUCUAGGUUAUACUCCUUAUGAGAGUCUAAUGCCUGAUGACCUGUCACUGUCUCCCAUCACCUCCAUAUGAGAUUCUCUUGUUGCAGGAAACAAGUUCAGGAAUCCCACUGAUUCUACAUUAUGAUGAGUGGUAUAAUUAUUUCAUUAUAUAUUACAAUGUAAUCAUAAUAGAAAUAAAGUGCACAAUAAAUGUAA